rnacentral:ribozyme from 1 species
AAAAAGAAAAAGAAAAACUUUUAGAAUUCGUUGUUACCUUUUUCAAAUCUCUUUUGUUGUGUGUAUUUG